rnacentral:rRNA from 2 species
UUCGCAAUGCCCGAAAGGGUGACGAAGCGACGCCGCGUGGGUGAGGAAGGCCUUCGGGUUGUAAAGCCCUGUCAGGAGUUAAGAAAUAUAAGUGCGCUAAUAUCGCAUUUAUUUGACGAAGGCUCCAAAGGAAGCCACGGCUAACUCUGUGCCAGCAGCCGCGGUAAUACAGAGGUGGCAAGCGUUGUUCGGAAUUAUUGGGCGUAAAGAGCACGUAGGUGGGUUUGUAAGUCAGAUGUGAAAGCCUUCUGUUCAACGGAAGAAUUGCAUCUGAAACUACAAGUCUUGAGUGUAGGAGGGGAGAAUGGAACUUCUGGUGGAGCGGUGAAAUGCGUAGAUAUCAGAAGGAACGCCGGCGGCGAAAGCGAUUCUCUGGCCUAUUACUGACACUCAGUGUGCGAAAGCUAGGGGAGCAAACGGGAUUAGAUACCCCGGUAGUCCUAGCUGUAAACGAUGGGCACUAAGUAGAGGGGUUUU